AAGAUAUCACCGUAAAUGUGAUCUCCAACAUAAAGAACCUGUGAGCUUGACUCAAUUGAAAGUAAUUUAUGCAAAUGGCCAACAUUUCCCCCCUGGAAAAUUCUGCAGCCUUCCUUCAAGCUCUUUACAGGCAAGCUCAAAGAAGUGCUCCCCACCUGUGCCAUGGGAGUCCCAUUAUCAGUGUUAAUAAGCAUGCCACUUUCAGGUUCAACCUCAAAAAGGUUUGCACGAAUUUCAUCAUGGAAAAAGCCUGGUUUUGCA
rnacentral:misc_RNA from 1 species